ensembl:lncRNA
GGCCCAGUGCGGGGUUCCAUGGCCGGCCGGGGCUGCAGCCGGUCGGGGAACCCGGCUCGAGCCCAGGUUCCGGCGGUGCUGUCCGGAAGGGCGACGCGCUCGGCCGGCCUGCCGGCCUCCCCAGCCUGCUGCGCCGCUCGCCCGAUCGCGCCAGCAAAGCCCGGGCGAGCGCGCCCGGCCCGACGCCGAGACCCGGGCCCUGCGGGAAGGACCGGGGCUCGCCGAGGCCGGGCUCCGGGGCAGCGCCGGUUCUCCGCUCCGAGGCCAGGCCCGCCCCGGCGCCCUGACUCCGCGCAGCCCCUCUGGCGCGCAGGCGGUCGCCGCAGCCCCGCUCCCUGCGCGAGUGAACGGAGGCGCCGAGCUAGGGGCUGGCGUCCACCCCUCGCCUCCCCGGGGCUCCCCAGGGCGCCCUUCUAGGAGAGAGAGCCAACGAAGAGUGGUGGUGUAAAAUUCAAAGCGAAAACACAAUUUACAGUGUUACAGCUUCACGAACAUUACUUUAAAAUACAGGGUAAUUGUAGAGGAUGUGAGUAUUUACUUGUAGAACAGUACCGGGAUGAGGGGAGUUGCUCUCCGAUUGGACCUGCGCGUAAGUCCAGGCCAGGCCAGUGGAAGCACAGACAGCUGUUUGUCUAGAUGUGUGGACUGGGGUCACCUGUUCUGAAAUCCACUUGCGAAGUGUUCCGGGUUGCAGCCCUCCGCCUGCUCACCCUGGACAACCCACUCCUCUCCACGUUCUGCUUAUUGAAAGCCACUGCAUAUUGUGCCUGAUAACCCCAAGCUGAAAAAAAGAAGAAAGGAGGUGAGCAGUGAGAUAGAGUCUGAGAGGAAGAAUGAGAGAAAAAAAGAAGGAAGCAGGAAACUUUUAACCUUGCUUGGUAUUUUAGGAGGAAUUCCAAAGGAGCUUGCUUUCACCAGAGGAAAUGCAUUCCGAAUCUGACUAACGUGGGUAUGGACCAAAUUUCUGUGAUAUUAGUCUGUGAAAACAGAAGUCUACUUCGAGAAAGAGAGAUGUUCAACUUGGCUCAAUUCAGAUCUUAUCUCUGUUGGUGCAACUUGCUCAUUCCCGUGAAACUUUGGCACACUUAGACGAGUCAAAAAUCUGCAUGAUUGAUCUGCUAACACAUCUGCACCAGCAACCUCAAACAUAAACGUGAAGGAUGUCAUGAGGAUGUGCUCUUAACUUCUUGGAAGAAAUGAGUUAGACAGAUGAGUGCAUAUAUGGAAAGCAUACAGGCAUUUGGCUCUGAUGUAAGGGAAUUGGUCAACCACUGCCUAGGGCAGUUUAAGCCAGUUCAAAAGUUCCUCCUCCUCUGUGUAUUUUCAUUCUACAGUAAAUAAAAUACUUUGUUUUAUAGUUUUGUUGAUCUGGCAAAGAGCUUUGAAAAUUCCAGUUCUCACGAGGCUCUACUAGAAGAGCCACCAUUCCACAGAGCUGAGGCCUCCAUCCCAGAACAUCUUCUAAGAUUUGCUUCUUGUGCCCAAACUGUAGCAUGUGGGCCAAACAGGAGCUGGCUCCCGUGUGCAUGUUGUUGAAGUGUGGACUUAGGUCUUUUAUGCUUCACAAACCCGCCCCUCUCUAUCCUUAGGGUCACAGAACACAAACAGGGAAACCCUCACAGCUCUCAGGCCCGCAUCUCACAAAAGGCCAGGACAUUCUGAAGGUCUGCAAUGUCAUUCCCAAAUCCAGAGGCAACGUUCAGGUUCUAAAGUUCAACCUGAUAAGGAAUGCUCUGAAGGGCUCUGGCGGAGGUUGGGUAGGAUGAAAGACUGAGAAAUUAUUCCCCAAAAUAGUUUCACAGGAACCACCAUACGAUUCAACCAUGGGCUAUUUUUUGUUAAAGAACUUGGGUUAGCGGUCUGGUGUCGGUCACUUCUCAUGCCUUAUCCUUUGCAACAUUCAACUAUUGUCUUCAUUUAAUAUCAUUCAGGGCCUCACAGAAGACAAACCUGGGUCUGGGGCUCAUCUCUGAUUUAGCUCACUACCCAGACUGCACACACAUUUCCUUCUAGCUCUUGAAUUUCUGGUAAAGACCUGCUCACCUGACAGGAUACCUUGAGGACUUGGUGAGAUAAUAUAGGACUUAGCUCAUAAUAGAAGCUCUGCUAAGUGUAAAUACUGCUUUUUAUUAGACACAGUGACCAAUGCACCCUUACCCCGGAAGGGCCUUUUGUUCGUUUUCCUCCCAUUGUUGCCUAGUGGCAGCUGCCAUGGGACCCUUAAGCAGGGUCAGUGCUUGACUGAGGGACACUGUUUUAUUCAGAUUUCUUUUCUGCCUUUCCUUCUCCCCGUGGUCACAGACAUACUAGAUUAUGCCCUUGCAACAGCCUUAAACCACAGGAAUGUCGCAGGGUGAACCUGUUACACAUUGUCCUUGAAAAGCUUCAAGCCAGAGGAAUGUCCCAAGGUGUCCCUUGGACCUAGUGCCUUCCAGACCCUGAGUGGCUGGGGCCACAGCGGAAUUGUCCCAGUCACAGUUUGCCCAAGCUCCCUGCCACCUGCUCAGAGAUAAGGAUCGUCAUCAUGGCUUGUUUGCUUGGACACACACAUGCACAAGGACACACACGUGCACACACAUAUCCUUCAGUCUCCUGGCUGUUGUGACCAUGGAAGGGAUGUUAAAGCUUGUAGCUGGGUUACGGCAAAUAGCAGCCUGAAUGAGCAUCUUUAGAGCUGUGUUUCAAAUAAUGCCUUGCACUGUGAUUAACAGAUUCAUGAAAACAUGCUACCUCUGGGCCAGGGGUGCAGCUCAGGGGUGUCACACCUGCUUCGCAAGUGCAAGGUCCUGAGUUCCAUCCAACUACCAAAAAAAAAAAAAGAGCUAUGUUGUAGGAUGAUUGACUUCAGGGACUGUUGCCAGCAAAAGUGCAAUGUCUCACUUGGAGUUAAAUCCUAGAACUACCUGGCCCCACAAAAACAGGAAAGAAAAAGAAAAGGUACAACUUGAAAAUACAGUGGACCCUCGAGUUAUGACCGGCCUUACCUACAAACAACUUGGGUUACAACUGGAAUUUUAGUUUUAACUUAUGACCAAAGUCUUCAGUUACAUCCAGUUUUUAGUUCUGAAAUUGUUGAGACCUCAUGAGCCAGAAGCAGGUCCCAGUGGGCUACAGACUCUCCCAAGGAGAGAAAGGACAUCAGAGAGCCGGACUCCUGAUGUUCUCAUGGAAGGAGACCCUCCUUCCACACAAUAUCCACCUUCCAUUCACCCUCCCUCCCUGCCAGCCAGAGACAUCACGGUGAGUACAGUAUGAAAUUGUUGUUUCUGGUCAAGCAUGCAUAUUUUAUAACUUUCUGGUGAAUACACUAGGAAAAUUAUUGCUGUUUCUUGUAAAUUAUGCAUAUUAUACAACCCCUUUGCAGUAUGAAAAAUUUAGCCAAGGGGUGCUUUUGGAGAUUCAGAAGGUAUUGUGGGUAUUACCAUUAUUCGUUAUGGGAAAAAUUGUCUUGACUUGCAACCAACUUGACUUACAACCAGCCCUCCUGAAUGAAUGGAGUUCAUAAGUCGAGGAUCCACUGUAACACAUUGUCACAGCAGUGUGGAAGUGUGACUGCUGAGGUGUGACUAGUGACUUCAGCUUCUGUGGUGAGACUCACAAGCCACUCUCACGUGGAGAAGCCCUCAGCAGAUGGAGGAGCAGAUAGCUGCUUUCUUAAGGCUUUAAGGUAAAAUAUUACAUGACAGAGCACAAGAGAACA